rnacentral:RNase_P_RNA from 2 species
GCGGAAGGCUGGAUGACCGCGUGUUCGGCGAAGUCCCUGCAAGGGGAAACCGCCGGAUGCGAGGAAAGUCCGGACUCCAUGAAGCAAGGGUGCCGGGUAACGCCCGGCGGGGGCAACCCCAGGGAAAGCGCCACAGAGAACGAGACCGCCCCGCAUGCGGGGUAAGGGUGAAACGGUGGAGUAAGAGCCCACCGCGGACCGGGCAACCGGGACGGCACGGCAAGCCCCACCCGGAGCAAUGCCGAAUAGGGGCCUCGCGCGGGGCAGGUCCAGGGCCUCGGUCCGGGAUACCGCCGCAGGGAUGUUUCAGCCCGAGAGGUCCGGGUUGGCAGCUAGAUCCCGCCGGUAACGGCGGGGCCAGAGGAAUGGUCAUCCAAGGGGGCAACCCCCGGACAGAAUCCGGCUUACAGGCCUUCCGCGCAA